rnacentral:rRNA from 1 species
AUGCGGUAUGACGGUACCCUUUCGAAUAAGAGGUUGCUAACUCUGUGCCAGCAGCAGCGGUAAUACAGAGACCUCGAGCGUUAUCCGGAUUUACUGGGCGUAAAGCGUCUGUAGGGGGUUUGUUAAGUUCCAAGUAAAAUCUUAAGGCUCAACUUUAAGUUCGCUUGGAAAACUAAUAAACUGGAGUCCAGCAGAGGUGCAUGGAACUUGCGGUGUAGGAGUGAAAUCCGUUGAUAUCGCAAGGAACACCAAAGGCGAAGGCAUUGCACUGGGCUGGUACUGACCCUGAGAGACGAAAGCGUGGGGAGCAAAACGGAUUAGAUACCCGUGUAGUCCACGCCGUAAACGACGGAUACUAGAUGUUCGGGGAUUCGACCCCCUGGGUGUCACAGCUAACGCGUUAAGUAUCCCGCCUGGGAAGUACGGCCGCAAGGCUAAAACUCAAAGGAAUAGACGGGGAUCCGCACAAGCGGUGGAGCGUCUGGUUUAAUUUGAUAGUAAGCAAUGGACCUCACCAAGGUUUGACAUCCUAUGACAACCCUGGAAACAGGGCUUCCUUCGGGGCAUAGUGACAGGUGCUGCAUGGUCGUCGUCAGUUCGUGCCGUGAGGUGUUCCGUUAAGUCGGGAAACGAACGAAACCCUCGUCGCAUGUUACAAAUUUCAUGCGAGACUGCCCGGGUCAACCGGGAGGAAGGCGGGGAUGACGUCAGAUCAGCAUGGCCCUUAUACAUUGGGCUACACAGGCGCUACAAUGGCCGGUACAAAGGGUUGCAAAACCGCGAGGUGAAGCUAAUCCCAUAAAGCCGGUCCAAGUUCGGAUUGGAGNCUGCAACUCGCCUCCAUGAAGUUGGAUCGCUAGUAAUCGUGAUCAGCCAUACCACGGGAAUACGUUCCCGGAUCUGUACUCACCGCCCGUCACACCAAGAGAG